UACGAAGGGGGCUAGCGUUGCUCGGAAUCACUGGGCGUAAAGCGCACGUAGGCGGACUCUUAAGUCAGGGGUGAAAUCCUGGAGCUCAACUCCAGAACUGCCUUUGAUACUGAGAGCCUUGAGUUCGGGAGAGGUGAGUGGAACUGCGAGUGUAGAGGUGAAAUUCGUAGAUAUUCGCAAGAACACCAGUGGCGAAGGCGGCUCACUGGCCCGAUACUGACGCUGAGGUGCGAAAGCGUGGGGAGCAACAGG
rnacentral:rRNA from 1 species